AAAUAUCCUCAACGCUGCACGUAAAAGGCACGUGUUGCUGUGGGUGAAGAAGUUAAUAUGUGUAAUUAAUGUAGCCGUAAAGGAAAAUGGCAAUGUUGUAUUGAAUACUGAAUCUUGACUGUGGUGACCAUGCCAGGAAUAAGAUAAGCAGAGCCCAGUUCCUGCUUUGCCGCUAACUCAGCAACUCACCCAAGGGGAGCUGGAGAGUAUGCCAGAAAUGAUACAUACGGCUAUAAAGACAGAGUGUCCAAGUUUGACUCAGUUCAUCUCCGGGCUCUUCUCACUUCCGACAUUGCCCCGUUUUGUGAACUUGACUGUGUCUCUUUCUACAUUCUGGAAGCAACAGUGUAAUACUCUGCAGUUCUAGGUUCCCUAGCCUCAUUCAUGCUGUUGCCUGUGCCCCGCACUUAGCAGAUGAGCCAGUGGAUAAGGUUCUGCAGCUCUGCUUCCCAGUCUUUCUGACAUUUCUGCUCACAAUUGUUGAAUUACAAAGCACCAGCUGGUCCCUCGUCAGCAGCGGCCUCCACGCAAUCAUGGGAAAUGCUGCAUUCCGUCACAGGGUGCCCUGAGAUGUCCCUGCUCUGUUUCCUCUCUUCACCUUGCAAGGCAGCUGACAUCCUUUAUUUUCUCAUAACGUCACUGCCUGGAAUUUCCGCUUCCAUCAAUCCGGCAGUCCCACAGAUAUAAGAACCCAUGCAGUGGGCACGGUUUCAGUGUGGUGACCCUGUGCUCUAAAACCCUUUGUCAGGGGAAACACAGUUUUUAUGUAUUUGUGUCUGAAACAAAAAAUGACGGAACGUCACAUGCAAGUGGUGACCGUAGCUAUGUGGCUUUCCUGACUCAUGGCAGCAAACUAACAUCUCAGAUUCCAUCAUCUAACCCAGCCAACGAGGCACUGUGGAUCCUGCUUUCAAGUGUUUUCUGCAUUACUGACAGCAAAUUACUGAGAAGGCAGAAUCCAAUGAUAGCUUUCCAUCCUCAUUUUGCACCGUAUUUUCAGCUUGCUGCCACAUUUGUUUUCCUAAGGAGGUAAUAAAUAAAUUGGAAGAAACACUGAAAAUACAGCAAAGAGUCAGGAGUCUGGCUUCACAAUCUGCGACAGCUGAGGGAAAACAGGAUGCUGAAGUUGGGCUUGGUCCUAUCCUCCCCACAGGACAACAGGAUGCUGA
rnacentral:lncRNA from 10 species